rnacentral:rRNA from 1 species
UCUCUGCAAAAUGGCCCCGUAAGUUCGCGAUAAGGGGUACCCUCCGUUGUUAACGCUUUGGAGGGUCACAGUAAAUCGGCAUCAGCAACUGUUUAUCAAAAACACAGGACUCUGCUAACUCGCAAGAGGAUGUAUAGAGUCUGACGCCUGCCCGGUGUUGGUAGGUUAAGGAAGAGGGUUAGCCGCAAGGUGAAGCCCGCGACCGAAGCCCCAAUAAACGGCGGCCGUAACUAUGACGGUCCUAAGGUAGCGAAGUUCCUUGUCGGGUAAGUUCCGACCUGCAUGAAAGGCGUAAUGACUGAUGCACUGUCUCAACCAGUGACCCGGUGAAAUUGUAGCCGUGGUGAAGAUGCCACGUACCCGCAGUGUGACGGAAAGACCCCGUGAACCUUCACUGUAGGCUGAUAUUGGUCUCGGACGUGUUCUGUGUAGGAUAGGUGGGAGGCUUCGAAGUGGUGGCGCUAGCCAUCAUGGAGCCAACGUUGAAAUACCACCCUGGAUUCGUUUGAGUUCUAACUCUGAUUCCCGUGAAUCCGGGCAGAGGACAGUGUCAGUUGGGCAGUUUGACUGGGGCGGUCUCCUCCAAAAGAGUAACGGAGGAGUUCAAAGGUACCCUCAGCCUGGUUGGCAAUCAGGCAUCGAGCGUAAAGGUAGAAGGGUGCUUGACUGCGAGACUCAUAAGUCGAGCAGAUACGAAAGUAGGACUUAGUGAUCCGGCGGUUCUGUAUGGAAAGGCCGUCGCUCAUCAGAUAAAAGGUACUCCGGGAUAACAGGCUUAUCGCUUCCGAGCGUCCAUAGCGGCGAAGCGGUUUGGCACCUCGAUGUCGGCUCAUCACAUCCUGGGGGUGGAGAAGCUCCCAAGGGUUUGGCUGUUCGCCAAUGAAAGUGGUACGUGAGCUGGGUUCAGACCGUCGUGAGACAGGUCGGUCCCUAUCUGCUGUGGGCGCACGAAACUUGAGGGGAUUCUUCUUUAGUACGAGAGGAUUUGGAAGGACGUUCCUCUGGUGUUCCAGUUGUCACGCUAGUGGCACGGCUGGAUAGCUAAGAACGGAACGGAUAAACGCUGAAAGCAUAUAAGCGUGAAGCCCGCCCCGAGAUUAGGUUUCGUAGGGCUUAUGCCCGAAAGUCCCCUGGAAGACGACCAGGUUGAUAGGCCGGACGUGUACGUGCAGCAAUGCAUUCAGCUAACCGGUACUAACGGACGAACGCUUGACCAC